AACUGCGUGAGCAAAGAGGAGAUGAUAACUUUUUUGAAUGGAGAAAAUAUAUCCUAUCCAUUGGUUUGAGAUAAAUAUAUGAACUAAUCUCGUUCUAGAGGUUGAUUUUACAGACAUAUGCUGAUUAUAUCAACUGAAACUGUCAAAACCAAACUCUUCUUUAUUAAUCCGAAGGACAAUUCAGAUGUAUAUGCAGAGAGAUUAUCUCUCUAUUAAAUAAAGAAUCACAUAUUGAGAACCAACAAACUCUUUCAUAUUCUUAUGCAAGUUCACCACUAUCCAACAAUCCUAUUCCUGGAGCUGCACCAUUUUCUUUUUUCUGAUAUUUAAAAAGGAAGGUAAGUAUAUAUGUAUAGCUUGAGUCUUGCCCUUUAUGUAUUUGAUAAAAUGUCUCAAGGAAAAAUCAAGACUAUCCUACAAUGUAUUAGAUUCUCUUUUCCAAAUUUGGAGUUCGGGACAAAGUUCUCGGAAAUUUCCUUUUAGAUAAGGAUAAGAUGCUUUCUACUUACAGAAGAUGCUU